UACGUAGGGUGCGAGCGUUAAUCGGAAUUACUGGGCGUAAAGCGUGCGCAGGCUGUUUUGUAAGUCAGAUGUGAAAUCCCUGGGCUCAACCUAGGAACUGCGUUUGAAACUACAAGGCUAGAGUGUGACAGAGGGGGGUGGAAUUCCACGUGUAGCAGUGAAAUGCGUAGAGAUGUGGAGGAACACCGAUGGCGAAGGCAGCCCCCUGGGUUAACACUGACGCUCAGGCACGAAAGCGUGGGGAGCAAACAGG
rnacentral:rRNA from 1 species